rnacentral:misc_RNA from 1 species
AGGUUGGUGGUCUUUGUCUCUCUCUAGUCUCUAUAAAGACACAUGAGGAUAUGGAUGUUUUCAUUGUUUUGUAUGUAUUCCCUAUAUUCGUUUCUUUAAUUGGUUGAAAAGGGGUUAGUUUCUCAGUUUUCCUUUACUUUAAAUGCUUCUGGUGUAUAUAAGGAUUAACUGAAGAGUUUUUGUAUUGGAUGCCCGAUUUAGUUGACCUUUUUGCUUAAUUGUCUAUAGCAAUUCAAUUCAGCUAAUAUUUGGCUCUUUUCUGGGUAUGCGAAACUGUAGGAGGAAAAGAGAAAUUGAAAAGCAGAAGGUACAGAAUCUUUGUUUUAUGUUUUAUGGUAAUUUUCAGCUUACUGGGUUCAGUUGAAUAUAGGUUUUGUUCCGUAGAAUCCCAACAGAAAUCUAGGAUCUAGGAUGAUAGUUUUUCUUUGUGCAAAAAUCAACUUAUAUUUGGUAGGGUGUGAUGAAGUAGAAUGUAAUAGAACUGAAUGGUCUUUCUAUUUCUAUGUUUGGUUACAAGAAUGAAAGUUAUUUAACGUAGUGACAAAUUUUAUUUCUAAAUUUAAUUCAUUUGGUGGCGGUGAUGAUGGCAAUGGCAGAGUGGUGGCAGUAAGGGUGUUGUUGAUAAAUAGAAAAAUUAGUAAUAGAGUAAAGUAAUCAUCACACAUUCUUUUUGAUAGGUAAUGAGAGUCACUUUAGCUAAAGUUGUGGAGAUUAUAUGAUAUAAUGAGUGUUAGGGAAAAAAAAAAAUCCUUUGGUGCAACCACAGUAACAAGACAUGUUACAUUACAUCUUUGAUUACAUACUAGUAAACAUUGCCUCAAUUUACAUUUGAUCAAACCAGCUUUAUGUUUUGAUGUGUUGUUUUCUGAAUGUUAUGCAAAGGAAUUUACUCCUAUCUGUGGGCAAAAGACAGUUAAGUUGCUGAAGUUUGGAUUUUGCAUAUGAUUUGCCUUGCUUUCUUUCCAUUUGGAAGAUUGGUUAAUGAUUUUAUUAUUAUUUUGAAAUGAAUAGACAAUGUUAUACCUUUCUCAGAUUGGCCUACAUGCCAUGUCUUUGCAGGUAUGUCUCCAUGGUUGACAUCAUUGAUACUUCAUCAUUGGUGCCUUCUUCCAUUCAAGCCAUAGAUUUCAGGAUUUUUGCAUCCUUGUGGUGCGGUGGGAAUAAGGAUUUCACUUGCAUAAAUGAUUUGAAUGCACGGUCCUCUUUGUCUGAAAGCCUUAUGCAGUGUGGAUCUAUAAUAUCUGGGGUCAAUGGUAAUAUAGAUAAGUGUUUAUAUGCUGUAGAUGAAGAUUGCAGAACCACAGUUUGGACUUACAAGAAUGGUGAAGAGGAUGGAGUAUUAGAUCCAUUCCAACCUGAUGAGCAACUCAAGAAGAAAAAGAACAUUUCAUAUGUUAGGAGGCACCGAGAUGUAUCUAAGACGCUUGGACCAGGUUCUGAAUCUGAAUCUGCCACUAUCCUGGCAUUUGGAAGCCUUUUCAGUGCCUCAUACAAGGGUUCAGAGCUGUAUAUUGAUAUCCAUGAAGUUCAGACAGAUCAAAGGAUACAAUCUUUGAUAGGGAAAAGUAAAUUUCUUCCCUUUGUUCCUGAAAUCCUAAUUGCAGGGAAGAAAUAUGCUUUAGAGACCAUAAAGGCUCCUUUUCUUUGUGCCCAGCUCAGAUUGUUAGAUGGUCAGUUUAAGAACCACAGGACAGCCACUUUUCUGGGCUUGAAACAAAAGUUAGAAUCUUUAAAGCGGACGGGUCAUCAGCCCAUUCAUAUUUUUGUAAUGACUGAUCUUCCUCGAGGUAAUUGGACUGGGAGUUACUUAAGUGACUUGGCUAGUGACUCAGACCAUUUUAAGUUGCACUUUCUGAGAGGAGAAGAAGACUUGGUGAUACAAACUGCAAAGAAAAUUGCAGCUGCAGGGCAUGGCUUAAGACUUGGACAUAUUCCAUGGAUUAAUGGAGUGAGCAAGAUGAAGAUGCAUUGUCCUUACCAGAGAUUGCCUGACAUACUUCUAUAUAUAGAGGAAAGUGUUUGUGCUUGUGCUUCACUGGGUUUUGUUGGGACUGCUGGAUCAACUAUUGCUGAGAGUAUAGAGUUGAUGAGAAAAUCUGAUGUAUGUAGAACGUCCUAAUCUAAUUCCUACAUGACAUUUGGCUAUGCAAGUUUGAUGAAUCUGAGCAUUUCGCUUGCAUAUUUUUCAGCGAAAACAUAGUUGUGCUUUCUUGGCUACCCUAAGACCCUAUGGCUAUGUUUGGAACUUUAUUAGGGAGGAAAAGAAAAAUAAAGAAGGAAAAUAAAAAUAAUGUAAGAUUUAUUUUUCUCUUUCUUGUUUGGAUAUUAGAGAGGAAAAUAAAGAGAGAAAGCAGCUUUUUAAAUAGUAAAAGAUUUAUUUUGUCUUUUUUAUUUAAAAUUAAAAUAAAUAAUUAUAAAAAUAAAAAAGUAAUUAUAUGAUUUUUUUCACUCACUUUUUUU